AUACAGCUAGAUCCAUACCCCUAAACUCCCUAGAUGAAGGACAACGGAACAUUCCGUUGUCCGCUUUUU
rnacentral:sRNA from 1 species